ACCUUCAUGUUAUGAUCACCCCCCCCCCCCUAAACAGUCCAAAGGACAUGUGGUUCUCCUCACGCAUCAGAUCUGCAGCAGCUUUUCAGUUAAAAACCGCAUGUUUGUGUGGAAAUGUGAAGCCCCCCACCUCCCACUGCAGCAGGAAACGGCAGAAAACUUCAGUUAUUGAGUCAUUCUGUGGUGAACAUGGAGGACCUGCUGCCGCUGCAGCCUCACGCUUUGCUGCACAAGUGAGAUCUCACUUAAAUAAAGGUCUAAACAUGGCAAGCUGGUCAAGAGUCUGGACCGUCGACGGGAUCUGAGAACUGGAGCGAGUCGGUGUGACGUUACCCAAAUGACCCCGACCAAAACAAGUCAAACUCUCACGAUACAGACGCCGCUAUGUUGGAGCCGGACGUCGUCAGAAAGCAGUGAUUGGUCCAAGUCGGUCUGAGUUUCUAUGGCAACUCUGAAUUGUCUGGACACAGAAACCUGCCUCCUUAUCCUCCUCAGUGCUCCGGUUCUGGUCUGCAGAGAUCCAGAACUUCUGCUGGAUCUGAGGCCCGGGAAAACAGCAGAACUACUGUUUUCCUGAUGUCUCUGGAUCUGGAAUUAGUUUUUCCAAUUCAGGCCCCAAAUUCACAGAAAGUCAUUCAAAUGAUUUGUGUUGAUUGUCCUCCAUUGAUCAAUCUCCUUUUCUUCUUUGAUGAAAUAUUUUGGAUGAGUACUUUCUUUUGUACCACUUCUUAGUAUUUAGAAGACUUUUUGUUUUUUUAGGUAUUAAGUUUGGUUUAUUUUUUGGUCAUCUUUUUUAAGAUAUUCUUACAUUUAAGUUAACAUGUACUUUUUGUGUUUAAGCUGCCUUUUUUAAAAGCGUUUUUGGCAUUGGAAAUGAUUCAUUUAUUAUUUUAUUGAUUUAAAAUCACCUGUCAGGAAGUGGUAGCGUCCCAGAAGGCAGAAGUCCAGGUUUGUGACAGGAACUAAGACGUUGAUUUCUAUAAGAACGCUUCAAAGAUGGAAGACUUUAUGUCCAGAAGCUGUAAUUUUCUCUGCGCGUUCAAUCAAUUAUGACUUUACAUUAAUCCUAUUACUCUAUUUUUAAUCUAACCUAAUGACAGCUGUGAAAAGCCUCAUUUUGAGGUAUUUUUAUUCAAAUGUGUUCCAUUGUAGCGCAGAAAAAGAUCAAAAUACAAAUACUUGAUGACGUUUUUUUACUAAAAGACUUCCAACCUAAACUUUUACACCAUCAAGAGGUUUCUUUUCCUCUCAAGCAAUUCAGGUUAGAAAAAAACCAUCAGGUGCAAUAUUCAACGACAGUAGGAACACUUUUCUGAGUAAUCUAAAAAUACAAACCACUAAUUUCCCAUAAAUACUUUUAUAUAAAAUAAAAACAUAAAUAAAGGGCUUUUGUUUGAUACAUAGAAAGUGACAUUUAUGAUGAAUAAUGUCCUCACUUCCAAAGGAACAGAGAAGACGACCAAAUGCUUAUUUCUUUUUCAGACAGACCAGCUUGUUCUGUGUUCUGGAAGCAAAGCUGCGCCUUUCUUUUCUCCAUUUUCACCUCUCUGCACUCUUCUCCUCUCCUUCCUCUCACCGGAAGUCAGUCAGCAGCCAAUUAAUGUUCACCUCAGGAUGUGGUUAACACUAAACAAGCAUAAAAAAGGAUUUUUUUAAAAAAAAAGCAACUCAAAUGCAAAAACAGUAACGUUAUAGAUUAAAAAUUAAAUCAUCGAAAAAAUAUGGGAUGCUUAUUUGUUUGUGAUCAAUCGCAAUUAACAUGAUAACGUGAUGCCCUUAGUUUUACCAACACUUUGACACAUGGGCAAGGCAGGAACCGAACCUGCAAUCCACAAGCAGAGAUCAACUGCUCUACCUCUGCACCACAGCAGCAUGUUUGACAGACAAGCAGACCCCGCCCUCCUUCAGCUGCAGCUGCACACGUUACUUUACUUUACUGUGUUUCUGUGUUUGUCAGCUUUAAAAACCUUUGGCAGUUUUGGCAAAACGCAAUUAAGACAACACAUUUUUAAAAGUUGUUAAAUUUUUUUUUUUAAACCUUUUUUUUGGAUUUUCAGUUUCCCCUUUUAGAUUUUGUUAUUUGAAUGACAAGCAUUCCCUGUUUUUGUAGUUUUACAAACAUUAUUAUUUAAGUUAUAAGUGUGUUAUAAUGUUACAUUGGAUUUACCAUAAAGGCAAAUUGUUGGUUGGAGGGUUGAUGAUGAGGGUUAAGCAGCAUUUAUGCUCUAAAAAGAAAAUAUUUUAUUUUUUUAUUAUUUUACAAGCCUUUCCUAUUGUUUUUAGUGCGUGAUUUCAACACCCACCAGCAGAUGGCGGUAAUCGCACUGCAGGAUCUGUGACAACAGAAGAAGCUACGUUCUCAUGAUUUACGUCAUCGCGUCUCCGCUGGUUACGUCAUU
rnacentral:lncRNA from 1 species